AGAACGAACGCUGGCGGCAGGCUUAACACAUGCAAGUCGAACGCUCGUAGCAAUACGGGAGUGGCAGACGGGUGAGUAACGCGUGGGAACAUACCCUCCGGUUCGGAAUAGCUCAGGGAAACUUGGAUUAAUACCGGAUACGGCUGAGAGGCGAAAGAUUUAUCGCCGGAGGAUUGGCCCGCGUUCGAUUAGCUUGUUGGUGAGGUAACGGCUCACCAAGGCGAUGAUCGAUAGCUGGUCUGAGAGGAUGAUCAGCCACAUUGGGACUGAGACACGGCCCAAACUCCUACGGGAGGCAGCAGUGGGGAAUAUUGGACAAUGGGCGCAAGCCUGAUCCAGCCAUGCCGCGUGAGUGAUGACGGCCUUAGGGUUGUAAAGCUCUUUCGCUCGGGACGAUAAUGACGGUACCGAGAUAAGAGCCCGGCUAACUUCGCGCCAGCAGCCGC
rnacentral:rRNA from 1 species